rnacentral:rRNA from 1 species
ACACCGGUCUAAACUCAGAUCAUGUAAAGUUUUAAAGGUCGAACAGACCUAAUUAUCUAGCUUCUACACCAAAAAUUACCUUUAAUCCAACAUCGAGGUCGCAAACUAUUUUUUCGAUAAGAACUCUUAAAAUAAUUACGCUGUUAUCCCUAAGGUAAUUUUAUCUUAUAAUCUAAAUUACAGGAUCAUAUAUUUACAAAUAAAUAUUUAAAUACAAGAAAAGUUAAACAAAUUUUCCUAUCACCCCAAUAAAAUAUAAUAAAUAAAAACCCAAACAUUAUACCACAAUAAAUUUAAAUUUUUAUAUACAUAUAAAACUCUAUAGGGUCUUCUCGUCUUUCAUAAAAAUCUAAGCUUUUUUACUUAAAAAUAAAAUUUUAAUAAAUUUCUACAGAGACAGCUAUUUUUUCAUCAAACCUUUCAUUCAAGCUCUCAAUUAAAGAACUAGUGAUUAUGCUACCUUUGCACGGUUAGUAUACCGCGGCCAUUUAACCACUCAGUGGGCAGGUCAGACUUAAUAUUAUUAU